UGCGUAGGCGGGGUAGUAAGUCAGUGGUGAAAUCCUGCGGCUUAACCGUAGAACUGCCAUUGAAACUGCCACUCUUGAGUUCAGUUGAAGUAGGCGGAAUGUGUCAUGUAGCGGUGAAAUGCAUAGAGAUGACACAGAACACCGAUUGCGUAGGCAGCUUACUAAACUGAUACUGACGCUGAGGCACGAAAGCGUGGGGAGCGAACAGGAUUAGAUACCCUGGUAGUCC
rnacentral:rRNA from 1 species